UGAUAAUUAGUUUAAUAAAAACAAGUGAUUUCGACUCACUAAAUUAUGACUUAUCUCAUAAUUAUCAA
rnacentral:tRNA from 1 species